rnacentral:pre_miRNA from 1 species
GGUCUCUGUUCUGUUCUAUGAACGUGUAUGCUGUGGGUAUCUGUCCUAUGAACGUGUAUGCUGUGGGUCUCUGUUCUAGACCCACAGCAUACACGUUCAUAGAACAGAGACCCACAGC